UGGGGUCCUGGAAGGCUCUGCACACACCUGCGAAGAGCACUAGCCCCCUACUUCCUUAGGGUGUCUCUGGCUCAGGGUCUCUUUCUCUCCACUCUCACCCUGGGCCCUCAGUGCUCCAAAAGCUGUGGUGUGGGUACUCGGAGGCGACGUGUUACCUGUGCCAUUGGGCCGCCUGGUCACUGUGGGGACCUGCAGUCAUCCAAGCCCGCUGACGUGGAACCCUGCAGCAGACAGCCUUGCCAUCUUCCUCAGGAGGUCCCCAGCAUACAGGACUCACGGACCCACCCUUCAGGCCCCAGGAUGCCUUUAGGCCCUCACGUGUCCCCAGUCUCAGAUGCUAGAGACCAGCAAUGGGCUGCCCAGGAGCUAUCCAGGGUCCAGAGUAACCCCAGGGAGAGCCAGGAUCCCCACGCCUCAGCUGCAGGCCGGGCCCCCACUCUGCAACAUCCUCCACAUCGGGCACCCCUGAGGCCUAGCUCAGGGCCCCGAGACUGCAGAUACAACCCCCAUGGAUGCUGCCCUGAUGGCCACACACCAUCUCUUGGGCCGCAGUGGCAAGGCUGUCCCCCGGCUGGGGCCUUGUGUCUUCAGAGCAGGUGGGUUGGGGCAGCUCUUCUUCCUCAGUAGGCCAAGAGAAGGAAGGUGGGGUUGGGCCACAUUGGCCAGUGCCAGCAUCCCUGACCAGGGCUGGCUUGCCCAGUCUAGAAUUCCUGAGGCACCCUGACUGUGCUGUUUUUUGGGUAUGUGGGUGGGGCUCUCUUCCUCCUGAAGGGCUUCUAAUGUGCCCAGCCUAUGGAGAGGUAGCCUGAGGCCUGGCGCAGGCACGAAAGGUGAUUUCAGCUCUCGGUCCAUGCUAAGAUCAGGAGUGCAGUGUGAAGCUGGCUGAAUCUCAAGACUUCUACAAAAACACACUCCUUCAGUCUUGUAGGGAGGGGUUGAGUCACCCCACUCUGCCAAAUGCCUUCUCUACAGUUCUCCUGAGACCUCCCUUGCACGGGCCCCCUGAGGGACUGCACUGCUAAGGGUCUGGGAUUUAGGGCCAGUGACUUCCAGCUGUUUGCUGGAUGACAAAGUCAGUGAC
rnacentral:lncRNA from 1 species